AUUGAACGCUGGCGGCAGGCUUAACACAUGCAAGUCGAGCGGGGGAAGGUAGCUUGCUACUGGACCUAGCGGCGGACGGGUGAGUAAUGCUUAGGAAUCUGCCUAUUAGUGGGGGACAACAUCCCGAAAGGGAUGCUAAUACCGCAUACGUCCUACGGGAGAAAGCAGGGGAUCUUCGGAACUUGCGCUAAUAGAUGAGCCUAAGUCGGAUUAGCUAGUUGGUGGGGUAAAGGCCUACCAAGGCGACGAUCUGUAGCGGGUCUGAGAGGAUGAUCCGCCACACUGGGACUGAGACACGGCCCAGACUCCUACGGGAGGCAGCAGUGGGGAAUAUUGGACAAUGGGGGGAACCCUGAUCCAGCCAUGCCGCGUGUGUGAAGAAGGCCUUAUGGUUGUAAAGCACUUUAAGCGAGGAGGAGGCUACUUUAGUUAAUACCUAGAGAUAGUGGACGUUACUCGCAGAAUAAGCACCGGCUAACUCUGUGCCAGCCGCCGCUGUAA
rnacentral:rRNA from 1 species